rnacentral:rRNA from 1 species
CGCGUGAGGAACCUGCCUUGAAGAGGGGGACAACAGUUGGAAACGACUGCUAAUACCGCAUGACGCAUAGAGGUCGCAUGAUCUUUAUGCCAAAGAUUUAUCGCUUCAAGAUGGCCUCGCGUCUGAUUAGCUAGUUGGCGGGGUAACGGCCCACCAAGGCGACGAUCAGUAGCCGGACUGAGAGGUUGAACGGCCACAUUGGGACUGAGAUACGGCCCAG